rnacentral:lncRNA from 1 species
UGAUCUCCAGCCUCUGCCCCUCCACAUUCCCUCUCCCAACUCUUCAGGACUCAGGGAUCCGGGGAGCCUUCCCUCGUUCUCUCUCGAAGAACAAAUGAAAUUUCACAGUUUACCGUCUGGGCGAUGUUAGAUCAGCUUGUGUCUUAAACUUGGUCUUGAGAGGGUGACCUAGAAAGAAAUUGCCCAAAGAAUGCGAACUAUUCACUUAUGAAUGUGAAUUAUCUGCCUACAAAGGAUGCAUUUUCUGGGGAAAACUCUUGUCAUUUCAACAGGAACAACGAAAUUGGGCAAAAGGGAUUCACUGCUGAAUUCCCUGAUAAGCUGCCUCAGUUUCCUCACUGCAACUGAGAAAAGAAAUGUCUGCAAAGACAAAGAUUAAAACAAGCAUGGUUUCGUUUGGCCACUUUUUGAUAUCCCUUUUCCACAUGGCUGAAUACCAUCAGUUCACCAUUCCAGGCAGACAGCAAGGGGUGUGGAAACUGAGGCUCAGAAAGGGUAAACGUGGAGCUGUGAUUCAGUCUGUGUCUGACCUCAUAGCAGUGCCCUCUCCUCC